rnacentral:rRNA from 1 species
CCCUUAGACGUUCUGGGCCGCACGCGCGCUACACUGACCAGUGCAACAAGCAUCCGUCCUUGGCCGACAGGCCCGGGCAAUCUUUGAACGCUGGUCGUGAUGGGGAUAGACUUUUGCAAUUUUUGGUCUUCAACGAGGAAUUCCUAGUAAACGCAAGUCAUCAACUUGCAUUGAUUACGUCCCUGCCCUUUGUACACACCGCCCGUCGCACCUACCGAUUGAGUGAUCCGGUGAAUAAUUCGGACUGCAGCAGUGUUCAGUUCCUGAACGUUGCAGCGGAAAGUUUAGUGAACCUUAUCACUUAGAGGAAGGAGAAGUCGUAACA